rnacentral:rRNA from 1 species
UACGUAGGGGGCAAGCGUUAUCCGGAUUUACUGGGCGUAAAGCGCGUGUAGGCGGUUGCGUAAGUUGGUUGUGAAAUCCCUCGGCUCAACCGAGGAACUGCAGCCAAUACUGCGCGGCUUGAGUGGCAGAGAGGAAAGUGGAAUUCCCGGUGUAGUAGUGAAAUGCGUAGAUAUCGGGAGGAACACCAGUGGCGAAGGCGACUUUCUGGCUGCUAACUGACGCUGAGACGCGAAAGCUAGGGGAGCGAACGGGAUUAGAUACCCCGGUAGUCCUAGCCCUAAACGAUGCACGCUAGGUGUUGGCCGUAUUGACGCGGUCAGUGCCGUAGCUAACGCAUUAAGCGUGCCGCCUGGGGAGUACGGUCGCAAGAUUAAA